rnacentral:rRNA from 1 species
GAUGAACGCUAGCGGCAGGCCUAACACAUGCAAGUCGAACGGUAACAGGAAAAGCUUGCUUUUUUGCUGACGAGUGGCGCACGGGUGCGUAACGCGUAUACAAUCUGCCUUUUACAGGGGGAUAGCCUUUAGAAAUGAAGAUUAAUACCCCAUAGUAUAUAGAAGUGGCAUCACUUUUAUAUUAAAGCUUCGGCGGUAAAAGAUGAGUAUGCGUUCUAUUAGCUAGUAGGUGUGGUAACGGCACACCUAGGCAACGAUAGAUAGGGGCCCUGAGAGGGGGAUCCCCCACACUGGUACUGAGACACGGACCAGACUCCUACGGGAGGCAGCAGUGAGGAAUAUUGGACAAUGGUCGGAAGACUGAUCCAGCCAUGCCGCGUGCAGGAAGACUGCCCUAUGGGUUGUAAACUGCUUUUUUAUACGGGAAGAAAACCCAACUACGUGUAGUUGGCUGACGGUACCGUAAGAAUAAGCAUCGGCUAACUCCGUGCCAGCCGCCG